rnacentral:lncRNA from 1 species
UAACAGGUUCCUCUUCUGCCUGUAAAUGGCAUUCACUUUUCUAAGUACUUUGUUACUAAAUUAACCCUUUUAGAAAAAUCUUAUGGGUUGUCACCCUUUGUUUUACAAGUUAGGAGAUAGGUAUUUAAGUUACAUGAAUUGCAAAAAAAAAAAAAAAAGUAUCAAGAGGGAAGUAGGAGAUGAAUUUGAAACUCAGUUUUGAGGUCAUCUUCUAUCCAGCCAUAUUGGUUAUAUUAUCAGCUAUAGAGAAAUACAUAGAAAUGAGGUGUCUCUACUUCAAGGUCACCCAACUGCUUAGCAGUGUGGAGCAGACUGGAGGAAUCACUUUUCUUGCUUGCAUCACAUGCUGCCCCCUGUAAAGGGAACUCAGUGAUUCAUCACAUCUGCCACUUUCCAGCAAGCUCUCCUUUAAAACUUGUCCAUUCAGCAUCUUGGCAUCUCAGAUAUAAGCAAAACAGCCUGGAGAAUGGGGCAAGAAUUGAAACAAAGUAACAACAUACUAAUUGGCAAACAGUAGCCUUAAGAUUGUUUGCUGAAUUCCAGACCCCAGCAUAUAAAUAGGUCAAUUCAUAAGAAUUGUAGCUACAUUCUGCAUUCCUUAAGGGUAUAGGGGGAGAAAACAGAAAAUGCACUCUUUUUUUUUUCUCCCUUCCCUCCCUGAAAAUGCACUGUUAUUUGAUCAUGUCCUGUAUUAGGAUGUGUGCAUACCUGCAUAAAGGUACCCACUGAGAAUUCACCUUUCUAUAGUCCUAAAGAGACACAUCCAGAAAGUUGCUGCUCAUUUGGUUUGGCUGUCAUGAGCCAGAGAUUGACACAGCCGUACUCAACUGAAGACUAUUCACUGUCUUGCUUGGGACUGUUAGAAUGAUACCACUAAGUCACCAUUACUGCAAAAUACCCUGUGUACAGUCAGUAAUUUUGCUGUGGGGGCUCUAUCCUUCUUUUAAUCCUUCUUUUUAUCCUUCACUUUUUGGGGGGUAGGGGGUUUGUUUUCAGAUUUGGUUUGUUGUUUAGUUGAUUUGUGUUUGUUUGUUUGUUUGUUUGUUUGAGGGGAGCAAUUGGUCAGGCCUUGGAAUGUCUUCUGAAGCUGCAUUGAAUCCAAGGUCCAAGCCCACAUAGGGAAGAACUCCGACUCUCACUUAAUUAGCCUCAAGCCUAAACCAAAUAAACUAUAGACCAUAGAUGUGAUUUCCAUGAAGCCUUGCCUUUAGUAAACAAAGCAGUAGAAAAAAGACAGAUGUCCUUGGAUUAUGCAAAUCACAGAGUGCCAUCAUAGACCAUGGCCAAUUUUUGAGGCUAUUCUAAAUUAACCCACGAAGAAAAAAAGUGUAAGGACAGAUCAAUUUAAUCACUUGAAGUCUUUCUUGUGGAACAUGUUCUGAUUAAUGACAUUCAAUAAAUGGAAUUCCUGCCGAAAUCAAGAUCAAAGUAUGAUGUUGGAAGAUUUAAUUUCUUCUAAUAGUUUAUUAAUGAUUGGUCAUCUUAGAAUCAUUGAUGCUGAACCCAUCAUCACUGAUAUCAUGUCUCCUUGAAGCUAAGACAUAUCUGCCUGGGGUGAGUUUAUGAACUUUUAAGUCAGUGUGUAAAAUGGAGUUAGGAUGUAGCUGUGAGCCUAACCUGCUUCUUGCUACUUGCUCAUGCACAAAUCCCAACAUUGUUUUCCUUGACCCUAGAUGGAGGAUGUGGAUUUGGCUAUUGCUAAGGUGUCUCUUUCUGCUUGGCUACCUGUUGCUCUGCCUCUCUAAGUUAUUCCUGCUUCUUAACAUUUCCUCAUGUACCAGCCUUUGCUCUUGCUAGAAAGUUUGCAGAAAUACCUGUGGCUUCUCUUUUUGUUAGCUGUUUACUCGGAUUUCUCUGGCCAACCCUUAUGAAAUAUCACACACACACACACACACACACACACACACACACACACACACACUGACUCAUCCUUGUUCUUGCUUCCAAAAUUAUUGUCCUUAAUAUUUACUGCCCAGACGCUAUAUAUUUCUUAUUCAUAUCCUACUUAUUAAUUUUCUUUUUGUACUUUGAAAGAUGUGUAUAUAUGUUUCUGUGUGUAUGUACACACACACACUUGCACACAUACACACACACACACACACACACACAUGUUCCCAGCCUACAUACACACAAAAGCUAUAUCCUUAAAUAUGACCUUCAAGAGUCCUUAUUUUCCUCUUCACUGUUUCAUCUAAAACAGUGCCUAUCACAAAGUCAGUGCUCAUCAAUUGUUCUUUGAUACAUGAAAUUGGUAUUUCUUAACCCUCCUUUCUAAGGGUCUCUUCUUCACCUAUUUUUAAUACUAUAAACAGUAUGGUUAUUGUGAUUAUAUCAUUCCAAAAUGCUCAACAAAAGCUUACUAGUGCAUUUUAUUUUUGCUUUUCAAACAAAAUUCUUUUCUGAUGAGGAUAGGAUAAUCUUAUUUAUUGCAAGCUUGAAAUCUGAUUUGUAUGUUUCUGAAAUUCAUGAAUUAUUCUAUAAUGAUUCCCUCAAAGCAGAUUGCUCUUGUGGAGCCAUUACUUCUUGUAGCACCACAGCAUCCAGUGAGAAAUCUUGAAAAGAUGGUGUUUAAAUGUAUGUCCCAAAUGGAACUCUCCUUAAUGCAAAUCAAGUUUGAAUUUAUUAGAAACCAUUAGUGGGAUAAAUGUUCUAUUAUGUAAAUCUGUGCCUUUAAUCUGAAAUGUGGAAAGUGAGUUGCUUUGUAGAAUAUCUAAUCUGCAAUUCUGUAAUUAGGAGAGCAGGUGGUUUAUCGCAGGUGCCAUCCCUGACUUGCCCCUCAUUGCAGGACACAAAUAUGGAAUUCUAUGCACCCCAAGUCAGCCACGGGGGCAGGGCAGUUGUGUUGGGUACACGAUUUUGAAAUCCAGCAGCAUGUUUAGUGCCUGAAGGUUGUGGAUUUGAUUUGAAACUAAUGCUGCACAGAAAUGUAUAUUACACAUGUUAUCUGUGUAUGAGUAAGAGAGACAGAUAGACAGACAGACAGACAGACACAGAGGCAGAGAGAGACAGAGAGAUGAGAGGUGGAAAGAUGUGGUGGUGUAUGUGGCAUUUGUAUGGGAUUUUUUUUUUCCGAAGAGGAAGAGGCCUUUUGAUAUAGUGUCAUACUCUGUAUCCAGGCUGACCUGGAACUCACGGUAUCACCAAUACCAGUGACAAAGCUGAUGAUGUCCUCCUGUGCAGCCGCCUUUGUGCUGAGAUUACAGGAGUGCACCAUACUGGGCUUUAAUAUUAUUAUGAUGUUACCUACAGUAUUAGGCUGAAUAUCUAAAAGCUAGCAUAAUAGGUAGGGGAAUUGUGGUCUUUUACAUCUUUCACUGCUAUAUUAUGGAAGUAUUAAAAAAUAUGAAUGACCUAUUUUAUAGCAAGGUAUUAGAAUUUGAUACAAAAUUGAAAAAUAGUAUCACGUACAGAUAUAAUGACUCAUCUUAGCAAC